GCUCUGCUGGUCUAGUGGUAUGAUACCUGCUUCGGGAUUCUUCAAUUCCAGUCGUCACCAGACGAGUAUGCAGGUGGUCCCCGGUUCGAAUCCGGGGUAGAGCC